GCGGAGGAAAAGAAACCAACAGGGAUUGCCCCAGUAACGGCGAGUGAAGCGGCAACAGCUCAAAUUUGAAAUCUGGUCCCCCCCGCGGGGGCCCGAGUUGUAAUUUGAAGAGGAUGCUUCUGGCAAGGUGCCGUCCGAGUUCCCUGGAACGGGACGCCACAGAGGGUGAGAGCCCCGUACGGUCGGACGCCGAGCCUCUGUGAAGCUCCUUCGACGAGUCGAGUAGUUUGGGAAUGCUGCUCAAAAUGGGAGGUAAACCCCUUCUAAAGCUAAAUACCGGCCAGAGACCGAUAGCGCACAAGUAGAGUGAUCGAAAGAUGAAAAGCACUUUGAAAAGAGAGUUAAAAAGCACGUGAAAUUGUUGAAAGGGAAGCGCUUGCGACCAGACUCGCGCCCGUCGGAUCAGCCGUCGCUCGUCGGCGGUGCACUCCGGCGGGCUCGGGCCAGCAUCAGUUCGCCUGGGGGGAGAAAGGCGGCGGGAAUGUGGCUCUACGGAGUGUUAUAGCCCGCCGUGCAAUACCCCCGGGCGGACUGAGGACCGCGCGUAGC
rnacentral:sRNA from 1 species